UUUUUUUCAGAAAAAAAGUCAGGUAAAGCUUCAUUUAUCAGUUUCACUUCUUUACCCAAUAUGUCUUGGCAGCCACUCCUUUUUCACUGAACCAGCAUCUCAGCUCCUGGGUCUUAGGGGCUCAGAGCACCAACCAUGGGUGAGCUUCCCAAGUUACCCCUUGAUUUUUCACCAAAGACUCCCCAGCUUACUGUAAGAGACGGGACUUGACUAUGCCACCUUCCUGCUUAAAAUCUUCAAGAAUUCACUUUUAUCAUCCUGGCACUCAAGGCCUUAUAUAAAGUAGUGAUGGGACAACCUCAUGCAUGGAGGUCCCCAGCUGGUCUGGACGCCUGCACUAAGUGCCAUCCUCUGGGUCCCCAUCUCCUAGAGGACCCCCAGCCUAGCGAGCUGAGCCCUGCCGUCCCUGGCCCACAGCCUCCUUAGCCACAGCUGCCUUCCCUCCACCAAGCUCUCUGCACGGGGGACAUGGGUUACCGUGGAGAGUGCUGCUCCAUGCCUGCGCUGCUCUGAGAUCUUAUUUUCCUUCACCAAACGGAGUUCUCCAAGGACCAGAGGCCACAUGUCAUCUCCUGUGGGUCCCCAGGGCCUGAUGCCACCGCCAAUCUGCCCAGCUCUAGAAAGUGUCAUUCCCUCCUACCUAAGGGUGCUCGCUUCCCACCACUGUUCACUCAGGAGUUCAUCCUGAAUGGGCAUAGGAUCCCCCCACCACACACAAACAAAUGGUUCUGUCACAAAAGGAAAAAAAGAAAAAAGUCAGAAGAAUACACAACUGAGUAGACAGGCAGAGCCCAAACCGCAUGGGGAGAGGAUGAAGGCUGGGGUUGAGGCCAGCCCUGGGAACACACAAAGGGCAGUUGGAAAAUGAAACCAAGGGAGGGCUCCAGAGCCCCUGGGCACAAGUGCGGUGCUCUGCAGGAAGGGGCCUGGAGUGAGGAAGGGGUCUUCAAGGGUGCUAGGUUGACAGAGAUGGAAUCACAGAACUCAGAAGCUGAAGGCGCACUUGUUACCCAACCAUAUCAUUGUAAGAUGGGAAAUUAAGGCCCAGGGAGGGGCAGGGGGUUGAUCUGUUUAUCUAUCCAUCAAUGCGUCUAUUCAUCUCUCCAUCUACGCAUCCAUCCAACCAUCUAUCCAACCAUCCAUCCACCCAUCCACCCCUGCAUCCAUGCCAUGCAUCCAUCCAUCUAUCCAUCCAUGCAUCCAUGCAUUCAAGCCUCCUCCUUCCUCUCCCUCUCAGGAGCCAGGGCAGAGCUGGAACUGGAGUCUAGAGCCCUAGCCUCUCAACCUAAAGCUCUCUACAAUGGGCCACAGCAGACUUCUUUAAGUCCAUGACAGCUCUGGGAAAGUUUGUAAGCCCAGAGGGCAAGCAGGAAGAAAGUCCCUGCUAGUGGAUCUCAUGCCAAAGCACAUACCAUGUCAGGCAGCUGCCCUAAGGCCAGUUCACCAACAGCUCAGUGAGGGCAGCCAUUCCAAGCCCACCCUGCAGAUGAGGAAACUGCAGCCCUCACAGAUGGGCUCUCGCCCAGUGCAACAGCACUGCAGGACAGGUACAGCUUUGCUAGGGGGUGGGAGGCGUUCUCAGUGGGCAAGAGGCUGAGCAGAGGCUCUGAGGCAGGGCGGCCAUGGAAGGUGAGAAGGCAUCCUUAGGUGUCACAGGAUGGUGGGAGAGGCAUAGGAAAGAGCUUGCACACUGGGGAGCUCACACCCUUGGGGACUUCGGGGUCUGCCAAAGUUCCCAGAUGCAAGGAAGCUCCUGCAGGUUAUGGGGGGAGCCAGUCCGCCCAAAACAGCAGGCAAAUGGGGUUAUAGAGCAGUUAUGCCAACUCCCUGGGUGCCUGCAGUCAGAGAGUACUGCAGAAAAGACCAGGGGCCAAGCAGCUAUGAGUGCUCUCAGCCACCAGCUGCUGGGAACAGACAAGUGAGGGGGAUGACACAGGUGCAACCGGGGAUAGGCAGUAGGUCCCAGGGGAGGCUCUGGAGCGCCAAGGGCUUCCUGCUUCUCCUCCUCCUCCCUGCCAGGGGAUGGUCCUGGCUUGCAUCUGUCUGCACCCCUGCAUACACAUCUGGGACCCAGAUGUUCCCUCCCUCCCUGUUUCAACAGGCUUUGGCUACAAAUUGAAGGAGUUCAUUGCUGUGUCCCCAGAUUCCCGGCAGAGAGACAGCAAGAUGGGAGGGCAAGUUUGAGCCUUUGCACUUCCUUUUCUUCCCUGUCUGUCCUUAGAUAUGAUACUUAAGAGUCUGAGUCUCAGUUUACUCAUCUGUAAAAGGGGGGGCUGGUGAUUCAUCUAAAGAAGGGUGUCAGACUACAUGCAGGGAGCACCCCACACCAUGCCUGGCACCAAAGAUGUGUUCUAUCAUCCAGAGUGAAUAUGAAAACAUCUCUCCACUGAACACUGCCACUGGUGCUGGGUGGAGUCCUGGAGGCCCCUGUGAGUGGCAUCACCAUUUUAGCUCCAGGAAGGGGACACUGGGAGGGACACUGGGUAGGGGUAGCAGGGGCAGAGGCUAUUUGCAACUUGUACAAAGGGAGAAGGCUGACCCUUGGGGUCAGAUGCAUUUAAGAAUUCAGAACGCCCUGCACUUUAGAUGGAUACUACUGCGUAUUUCAGCAGCAUCCAACAGUCAAGUCUGUGGACACUUCUGCAGCAAAAUACAUGAACACAGAAUACAUAAGGGCUAUAAAUAGCUUCACUUGGACUAUAAAUAGCCUCACCUCGGUUCAGGCGGGAUUUUGCUGCCAAAUGAGUUAUGAAAAAGUGUUUGGUUUUCAGAGCUUGCUGGAGUUCGGAAUUGAGGAUGAGGGCUUGCAUCUCUGCAUGUCAAUGUUUUUCACCACAAAACAGGGAGACAACUGUGCCUCAGCCCUGGUUCAUCUCACAGCUGACGAGGUCCUGAGGAGACUCAUAUGCACCCUGCCCCUAAACCCUGCCAGGCCCUGACCCAGGGGACACAGCACAAGGAGACCAGUCACAAAGCAAAAACAAACACGCACACACAUAAACACACAUGGUGAUGCGUAUAAAUAUAACCACACCAGCCACCGGCGUGGAGACAAACAGCAUCGGAAGCCCAAUCUGGGGAUGGAACCCAGCUGGGCAGCCCCCAGUGGCCACAGACACCUGCUCAGGCCCACCCCUGCCCAUGUGCGCUUGUGCCGACAGAGGAGGAGGGGCAGGAACAAGGAAGAGGGCUGGGGCGUGGAGGCCAAGGGCUUCCCACUCUCUGGACCCAAGAGGGUCAGCAAGAGUACUGGGCAGACUGGGAACAAGUCCUGGCACUACCAUGUCAGAGCCAAUGUCCUCAAGGGUGGCUGACCUCACUGAACUACAUUUCUUUCUCAUCUGCAGGGUUGGAAUAAUCAGGCCUCCCAGGGUUCUGCCAGGAGUGGGAACACACCUCAGGGCCUGUGCUUGGGAAAUGCUUGCUGGCUGUUUUGUGAAGCUGCUUCAGUGUGCAGCCUAUAAAGGGGGGUAUUGGAGUGGGGUGAGGGAUAAGUUAGGAGUUUGGGAUUAGCAGAUACAAACUGCUAUAUACAAAAUAAACAAGGUCCUAUUGUAUAGCAAAGGGAACUAUAUUCAAUGCCUUAUAAUAAACCAUAAUGGAAAAGAAUAUGAGAAAGAAUAUAUAUUAUUCUGUUACACAUAUAUAUGUAUAUAUAUAUAACUAAAUCACUUUGCUGUACACCCAAAACUAACACAUUAUAAAUCAGCUGCAUGGAAAUUAAUUAAUUAGUUGAAGGGGUGACCCCUUUAAUUCCAGAGAUGCCUUUACAUCCCAGGGCUAUUUAUUUAUGUACCAUUUUAUGGCCGCGACUGAGGCAUAUGGAAGUUCCUGGGCCAAGGGUAGAAUGGGAGCUACAGAUGUGGGCCUGCACCACAGCCAUGGUAACACCGGAUCCAAGCCAUAUCUGUGACCUAUGCCACAACUUGCAGCAACACCAGACCCUUAACCCACGGAGUGAGGCCAGGGACCAAACCACCAUCCCUACAGAGACAACAGUGGGUCUUUAACCUGAUGAGCCAAAAUGGGAACUCCACUCUUUUUUUUUUUUUUUUUGGCUGCAUUUAUAGCAUGUGGAAGUUUCUGGGCCAGGGAUCAAACCUGAGCCACAGCAGUAACAAUGCUGGAUCCUUAACUCUGUGCCAUUGGGGAACUACCCCCAGGGUCCUCUUUGGAGAUCAAGCCUUAGCGGGGUUACCUAUGUCAGGUUCCCUGGGUGACUAUAGACAGUAUCUCCCAGCUGCUCUGUCUGCCAAGGGCAGUUCCCAAGAGAUUGGGUUCAGGAUCUGGAGGGCAAAGCCUAGAGCAGGGACAGGCUUACCCUGGAGGAGGGGGUAAGAGAGACAUCAAAGACAGAACCCAGGAGUUCCAGUCGUGGCUCAGUGGAAACAAAUCUGACUAGGAACCAUGAGGAUGCAGGUUCCAUCCCUGGCCUCGCUCACUGGGUUAAGGAUCCAGCAUUGCCAUGAGCUGUGGUAUAGGUCACAUCCACGGCUUGGGUCUCACGUUGCUGUGGCUCUGGUGUAGGCUAGCGGCUACAGCUUUAAUUGGACCCCUAGCCUGGGAACCUCCAUUAAGUACCACGAUGAAGGGGGUGGUGAUGCUGGGACAGCCCUGCUAGUGGAGGGCUUCCCUUUGAACUGUAUCCUCACACUCAAAACAGCCAAGAUGAGAAGAAAUUCGUCGAUAUUAUUAUCACCAGUCUUCCCACCGCUGUUUGGGACCCUGUCCCCUGAUGACACAUGAGGCGGAGGAGAGACGCUCUCUCCCCAUCUCCAACUGGAAACUGAGGCCAAGAGGCUGACGGGGAUGUGGUCAAGGUCAUGGGGCAAGUUAGUCAUAGCAAGGGAAUGAGAACCCCAGGCCCAGGGCUACCCACCCCAGCCAGCACCCCAAGGCUGGCGGCCCCUGGUGGCCUCUGGGCACUCCCGAGAGUGAAGCCACCUAAGGGGACACCAGGGUAUGAAGCAGCAUCUGGGGGCCUGGGCUGGGGGAAGCUCGGGGCAGGCAAGCUUGAGGGAAGGAAGAAGAAGAGGGGGUGGCUAGGGUGCAGGGAACUGAGUCAUCUUAACCGGUCCAAGCCCAUCGCACACAGUCUGGCUCUUCUAUCUUUGGCGGGGAGCCUGGGGCUAUUUUGGGAAGCUCUGCACACAGCCCGCCACUUCCCUGCCAGGCUGACUGGGUCAAAAACAAAACCAGCCCGGCAACAGCCCCGUGUCAACAGGGUGGGGAGUGAGGAGGCACUGAACAGCCCCACACUGAACAGCAGGGACGGGGGUGGCGGGGGCAGGCACCACCACCCACCCCUGCAAAAAAUAAAAUAAAAUGAGGUGGUGAAACAAACAAACAAAGCCAGUCAGAGGCAUCGAGACGGGUGGGGAAGGCUGGCUUUGGAACAGACGGGCUUAAGUUCGAAUACAAGCUCUGUCUUGGAGCAAGUCCUUUA
ensembl:lncRNA